UACGGAGGGUGCGAGCGUUGUCCGGAUUUAUUGGGUUUAAAGGGUGCGUAGGUGGCUGUUUAAGUCAGUGGUGAAAUACAUACGCUUAACGUAUGAGGUGCCAUUGAUACUGAAUAGCUUGAAAUAAUUGGAGGCUGCCGGAAUGGAUGGUGUAGCGGUGAAAUGCAUAGAUAUCAUCCAGAACACCGAUUGCGAAGGCAGGUGGCUACGAUUUAUUUGACACUGAGGCACGAAAGCAUGGGGAGCAAACAGG
rnacentral:rRNA from 1 species